GAUUUCUUCAUCACCUUUGGCCAAUAUUUCCUUCACUUGUUCUUCCAUGGCUUCUACAUUGCGGAGCCAGCCAUCGACUACAUGAGUACGCUUCUUCUGAAGUUUCUCUUCACGUUCCACCCUUUCCUUCACAUCUUUGUAUAGGUUCUUGAGUUCCCCCAUUGCAGUUCUCAAAGAGUUGAGAUUUUGUGGGAGAUGACGGAUGUAAACAGCACGCUUGGCAGUGCAAUCCCACAAGCGAGUAGCGACAUCCAGGAUUGGGCUCACACAAUCCAUGGGGAAAACAAGGACUGGGAUUCAAAGCCAAGAAGAACUUAAUCAGAACAAGAAAACAGGUUGGGGAGGAAAAGACUCAGCAAUCAAUGUCAAUGGGUGAGAUUGUGGUUGGAAGAUUGAAUGGUUUAAAAAAUUAAUGUACUGGCUACAUAAGGGUCCACCACUACAUAAUACCAAUAAAAAAUGUCAUUCUUUUCCACGUACAGACUGUGUAAAGAUGAAUAAAAGACUCCACCACUGGUGAUACAUAGACUAGGAUAAAAAAUUAAUAAACUGAAUACAUAAUGCCAAUAAAUCAUCGUCUUCUAUGUGCAGGCUGUCAAGCACUAUCAAGAUUAAUAAAAGACUCCACCAUUUGUGAUACAUAGAGAAUGGUAUAAAAAAUUAAUAAACUGAAUACAUAAUGACAAUAGAUAAUGUCACACUCUUCCAUGUACAGACUGUCAAGCUCUGUAACAAUUAAUAUAAGACAGUAUGCAUGUUAGAGUACUUAUUUAUUUAGAAGUUUUAUUUAGUUACUAUUUUUCUAGAGUAUGGGUAAGGUUGUAUUUUUUUCCUCUUAUUAUAUUUAUUUAAAUUUUAAUGGUAUUUUAUUUUAUUUAAAAAACUGUUCUAGGAAAUCCUAAAUUUUUUUUUUCUCUUUAAAUCUUUUGGAUUUCACAUGGUAUCAUGGCAAAAUUGAUUUUUUUAAUAAGACUUGAUUUAUAAUUUCAUAGAAAAGAGUUUAAUUAAUCUCAUACACUUGCAAACAAAGUUUAUUCAUAUUCGUUUGAUCGUGAAAUUCUCUUUUGUCGUAUUUAAUCAUGGGAUAUCAUAAUGGAUGAUCGCAUCAUUUUUUUUUUUCUUAUUUGAUCCAUUAUUGAAAUAGCUUUUCUAGUUGUAUUUUCAACUACUCUACCCAUUUCAUAAAAUAUUCUUCCUGCUUUAACUACGAUUGUCCACUAUUCAGGAGAUCCUUUCCUCGAACCCAUACAUCUUUCCAUAGGUUGGAUGGUGAUUGUUGAUUGAUAUAUUAUGAUAAAAUUCAUUCAUUCAUUCAUUCAUUUUCUUUUAAUUUCUAUGAGGGGAUGAAAUAUAUUUAAACUCAAACUUAUGUUUCAUAUAUUAUGCUUAAUUUUUUUUCCUUUUUCUUUAUUUCUCAUCUUUUUAUUUUUUUCAUGUCUUUCAGGAUCCCAAAAGCAACUGUGUAUUAAUCGUAAAUCAGUGGAUAUAUAGCAAUAUAAUGGUUAUAAUAUAUUUACAUUAAUUAUGAGAAACUUCAAUGAUGUUUGUUUUUUUAUUGAACAGGAAAAGUUAAAAUAUUUUAUUUUUUUAUUUAGUUAAAAGUAAUUUGCUGAUAUCAAUUAAUAUAAUUAAAAUGAACUUGUUAUUCAUAGGUCCAAUCUAAUUAUAUUGGACGAUAUCAAUAGAUUACUAUUAAUGAAAAAACCAAAUACUUUGACUUUUUUUAUUCAAUCAAAAAACAAAUAUCACUUUCUAAAUUAUAUUUGGUUUAGAAAGGUAUUAAGAAAAGAAAAAAUAUUAAGAAAAAUAAUUUCUUCAUGAAUGGUUGUAAACUGAAAAAAAAAAAUCAAAUAUAAUUAAAAUUAAUAAGAAAUUUAUAUAUUUUAAAAUUAUUUAAUUUUAUAUAAAAAAUUUAAAAUAACAUAUAAAAAAUAAUUUAUUGACUUUAAAUUUAUUUUUUUAUUUUCCUUCAUUUUUUCUUUUCCUCUAUUUUUUCUACCUUUUUACUUUUUUUUUUUUGAUAUUUUCUCUCAAUUUUUUCCAAAAUAAAAAAUAGUCAUAAUUUUUUGUUAUCCCAAAUUUGGUCAAUUAUGAUCCAAUACUGUGAAACCAAAAUUUGCAUAUGGUGGGAGGAUGACAUAUAAGCUUCACUAGUUACUUCAUCCACAUAUAAAAAUUAUUAAAAAAAUUAAUUGAAUAUAACUUAUCAAUUUUUGUGGAAAUGAAUAGCUAAACUGACGAUCCAAUAAGGGUUUUAGAAGGAUAUAGAAAUUUCUAAUAAACAUCCUUCAUUUUUCAUAAUAUUACGAGCAUGCCACUAAAAUUGUCAAGAAGUAAAUUCAGCAUUAAAUUCCAAAAAAAAAAAAAAAAGGAGGUCAAUCAGUAUUGGAACUACAAGACCCAAUGCUGAUGGGAUAAAUACAAACAAUACACAACCAGGUUUUAUCCCCUCUUAUGAGAACCUAAUAGGAAUCAAUCCAAUAGAGAAGCAAGAAUUCACUCAAUCAACAAGCAUAUGAAUACCAAUAAUUUUAGCAUGGAAAACCUUCUCCAAUAUGAGAAGUAAAAACCACGGGACCCUUAGGCCACUUAAAAACUCCACUAAUAUAAUUAAUGGGUUACACAAUUCUCUCUAGAUAAAACUAAAGGCAUACAUCCACCAUAUCUUAAGACAAAUUGAUCUUGACAAUUUCAACAACUUUGCAUAAAAACAAUGGAGAGAUCUCACCAAACACACCACUAUUCUCGAACUGAAAGAUAACUUUUUCGAACUCCAAAUCCAAUCUCCACCGUUAGAAUGAAGAUCAAUGAGUCACGAAUGUGUUCUCCAAAAAUCGGCUCAAUCGAACUACAUAUUAACCUUGAUUGGAGUUCAUGAUCAAAACUGUCCGGAUAGAAAACACAUCAAAAUGGAGGCUCUGUUCUCGGACAGAAAGAUGACUUUUUAGAUCUCCAAAUCCAAUCUCCACCGUUCAGAAUGAAAAUCAAUGAGUCACGAACCUCUCCUCCAAAUUUCAAGUCAAUCGGCCCACAGAAAAAGCGGGAUCGGACAUUUGAUGAAAUCUGGGCAGUGAAGAAAAAACUUGAAUUUUUCUCUCUAACUUCAAAAAUGGUGGUUCUCUCUUUCUCUUUCUUUUCUCCUACCUCUGGUGGCUGCAAAAAAUUAGAAGACGAAGAAGAAGAGGGAUUAUUUUUCUAGCCCUUUUAUAUAAAGGCCUAAGAGGCCUUAAAUUUUGGGCUCUUAAUUUGGGCCUUCCACAUGAGGAAAAAAACCUAGCAAAUCUCCCCUUUUCUGAUUAUGUGGAGGGACUCGCCAUCCUGGCGAUUGAACAACAAACUUCAAGCUUCUCCCUUGGUAAGGACUUCGUUAACAUAUCUGAGCCAUUGUGAUCGGUAUGUAUCUUCUCAAGUUCAAAUAAGUUGUCAUUGAGAGCAUCUCUCAUCCAAUGAUACCUCACAUCAAUGUGCUUCGAUCUUGCAUGAAAAGUAGAAUUCUUACUAAGGUGAAUGGCGCUCUGGUUAUCACAGUAUACGACAUAACACUGCUGCUUAAACUCGAGCUCAUGUAUGAAACGCUUCAUCCACAACGACUCUUUACAUGCUUCUGCUGUUGCAAUGUACUCUGUCUCUCUUGUAGAAAGUGCAACACAUUUCUGUAGUCUUGAUUGCCAAGAUAUAACACCUCCUGAGAAUGUCAUCAAAUAGCCUGAAGUAGACCUUCUAUUAUCUACAUCCAUUGCCAUAUGUGAAUUAGUGUAGCAAACAAGUACUAGUUUCCCAUUUCCAAAAGUGAGUUUCAACUUGGAAGUGCCCCGCAAAUAUCUCAUAAUCCACUUGACUGCCUCCCACUGUAGUCUUCCUGGAUUAGAUAGAAAGCGGCUAACAAUAGCAACUGCAUAAGCUAUGUCUGGUCUAGGACAUACCAUGACAUACAUCAAACUUCCUAUUGAUGAGGCAUACGGAACUCUUCUCAUGUCUUCCUUCUCUUUAUCUGUAGAAGGGUUAUGUUGUUGCUUAGCUUAAAGUGACUAGCUAGAGGAGAACUAACCACUUUAGCUUUGCUCAUGUUAAAUCUUCCAAGCACUUUUUCAAUAUAUUGCUCUUGUGACAUAUACAGCUUCUUGGAUGCUUUAUCUCGCUCAAUUCUAAUACCAAGAAUUUUCUUUACUGGCCCCAAAUCCUUCAUGGAAAAGGAUUUGCUUAACUACUUUUUCAGCUUAUCAAUUCUUAAAACAUUUCUGCCAACAAUCAAGAUAUCAUCAACAUAGAGCAACAAUAUAACAAAAUCAUCAUUAGAGAAUUUCUGCACAAAUACACAAUGGUCAGAAGUAGUUUUUCUGUAGCCUUGCUCUCCCAUAACUGAUUCAAACUUCUUAUACCACUGCUUUGGUGCCUGCUUUAAGCCAUAAAUACUUUUCUUUAAUUUACACACAUAAUCCUCUUUUCCUUUUAUUAUGAAACCCUCUGACUGUUCCAUAUAAAUUUCUUUGUCUAAAUCACCAUGGAGAAAUGCAUUCUUAACAUCCAUCUGCUCAAUCUCCAAAUCAAGACUAGUUGCCAAGCCUAAAACUACACGAAUAGACAACAUCUUAACAAUAGGAGAAAAAAUCUCAUCAAGCUUACCUGUGGAGAUUAAAUUCAUGCGGAUAUUUGGAAUGUGUUUGACAUUAUUCAAAAUCAACAUAGUACCAUUUCUAGUCUCCAAACACACAUCUCCCAUACCAAUGGCUUUAGCUGAGCCAUCAUUACCCAUCCUAACACUUCCAAAGUCACUAGAUGUGUAGGAUGUAAAGAAAUCUUUCCGAGGUGUAGCAUGGAUUGAGGCACCGCUAUCAAUCACCCAACUAGUCUCCUGGCAAGCAAAAUUAACAACAUCACUAUCAUAAACAAUAAGGAAAUCUGAAGUGGUAGUGGCAACUCGAUCAUCUUCAUCAUCAUUGUCAUUCUUCUUGUCCUUCACUUUCCCUUGUUUCAUAUCUCUCUUCAAUUGGCGACAAUACUUUCUUAUAUGGCCUUUUAAAUGGCAAUAAUGACACUCAACAUUGGAAAACUUGUUAGUCUUGCUUUUGCUGCUGUUUCUAUUCUUCAGACCUCUACUUUUACUCCUCCCUUUCUUUUCAGUAACUAGGACAUCUGACUAUGAAGAAGAACCCUAUGACUUUCUUCUCAUCUCUUCAUUCAGAACACAACUCUUAACCAAAUCCAUAUUCAUAGUACCAUCCGGGGUUAAGUUAGACAAGGAAGUUCUAAAUGUCUCCCACAAGUCCGGCAAUGUACCAAGAAGCCACAACCCUUGCACUUCUUCCUCAAACUUGAUAUUCAUUCCAGCCAACUGAUUAAUAAUACCUUGGAAUGUAUUCAAGUGAUCUGUCAUAGGAGUUCCAUCUUGAUACUUCAAGCUAAUCAUCUUCUUGAUCAUAAACAACUUAUUAUUACCAGUCUUUCGAGCAUAUAACUGUUCGAGCUUGUUCCAUAAACUAUGUGCAUUUUUCUCUUCACUAACAUAAUUGAGAACAUUAUCAUCUAUUUACUGUUUGAUAUAACCACAAACCUGCCGAUAAAGUAAAUUCCAUUCUGCAUCAGUUUUAUUUUCUAGUUUUUCAGAAGCAAACACAGGCAAAUAAUAAUCCUUCACAUACAAUAAGUCUUCCAUCUUUCCUUUCCAAACAUGAUAAUUGGAGUCAUUCAGGGUAAUCAUUCUACUUAUAUUGCUUUCCAUUGUUCUACACAAGACACAGAUUAUAUUGAACUUGGCUUUGAUACCACUUUGAUGGGGUAAAUACAAACAAUAAACAACUAGGUUUUAUUCCCUCUUGUGAGAACCUAAUAGGAAUUAAUCAAGUAGAGAAGCAAAAAUUCACCCAAUCAACAAGCAUAUGAACACUAAUAAUUUUAGCGUGGAAAACCUUCUCCAAUAUGAGAAGUAAAAACCACGGGACCCUUAGGCCACUUAAAAACUCCACUAAUAUAAUUAAUGGGUUACACAAUUCUCUCUAGAUAAAACUAGAGGCAUACAUAACCAUAUCUCAAGACAAAUUGAUCUUGGCAAUUUCAACAACUUUGCAUAAAAACAAUGGAGAGAUCUCACCAAACAUACCACUGUUCUCGGACUGAAAGAUAACUUUUUUGAACUCCAAAUCCAAUUUUCACCGUUCAGAAUGAAGAUCAAUGAGUUACGAAUGUGUUCUCCAAAAAUCGACUCAAUUGAACCACGGAUUAACCUUGAUUGGAGUUCAUGAUCAAAACUGUCCGGAUAGAAAAUGCAUCAAAAUGGAGGCUCUGUUCUUGGACUGAAAGACGACUUUUCGGAUCUCCAAAUCCGAUCUUCACCGUUCAGAAUGAAGAUCAAUGAGUCAGGAACCUUUCCUCCAAAUUUCAGGUCGAUCGGCCCACAGAUGAAGCGGGAUCGGGCCUUUGAUGAAAUAUGGGCAGUGAAGAAAAAAAUUGAAUUUUUCUCUCUAACUUCAAAAAUGGUGGUUCUCUCUUUCUCUCUCUUUUCUCCUACCUCUAGUGGCUGCAAAAAAUUAGAAGAAGAAGAAGAAAAGGGAUUUUUUUUUCUAGCCCUUUUAUAUAAAGGCCUAAGAGGCCUUAAAUUUUGGGUUCUUAAUUUGGGCCUUCCACAUGAGGAAAAAAAACCCAACAAAUGCCUGUCCCAAAACUAAGAACAACUAAGCCUAACCUUGGACUGAAGGCAGCAAUGCUCUUUCUUCUACUUUGAAUUGCUCCCAUCAAGUGCUGGAAGAGACCCGGAAAGAACCUCAGCUGCCAACUCCAAAUUCCUCUGUUAUGAUCAAUGGAGGCACCAGCCUCACAACAUUCCCCUUUCUAGUGGUGAGCACUAGGAAGCCGGCUUCUCGAUAGGCAUCCACUAGCGGCGAGGCCUAGACGUCAAGCUCAAUCCCAACAAUGAGCCCAAGCCCACGUACUUCUUUCACAUGUGGGUUAUGUCCCAACUUUUGGGUUAAAAUUUGCUUCAAGUGUUGGCCCUUCUUGGCGGCGCUAGCUAAGAAGCUGGGUUCUGAGAAUUUUUCAAGGACAGCAAGAGCAGCGUUGCAGAUAAGGGGGCUGCCGGAAAAAGUGCUUCCAUGGUCACCGAAGUUUAUGGCAGAAGCAACUCGUUCGGUGACUAGAACAGCACCGAUAGGUAAGCCUCCAGCAAGAGGCUUGGCAAGUGUCAUUAUGUCAGGGAAUACACCAUAGGACUCAUGAGCCCAGAGGUGGCCUGUUCGGCCUAGACCACAUUGAACCUAUAGAACAGGAUCAGAACAUGAUCAAGAUAGAAAAAUUGAACAAAUAAUUAGAGGACAAGAAGUAUGAAUUGAUGGGAUAAACACAAACAAUGCACAACCAGAUUUUAUCUCCUAUUGUGAGAACCUAAUAGGAAUUAAUCAAAUAGAGUAACAAGAAUUCACCAAAUCAACAAGUAUGUGAACAUCAACAAGUAUAUGAACACCAACAAUUUUUAACGUGGACAACCUUCUCCAAUGUGAGAAGUAAAAACCACAGGAUCCUUAGGCCACUUAAAAACUCCACUAAUAUAAUCGAUGAGUUACACUAUUCUCUCUAGAUAAAACUAGAGGCAUACAUAAACCAUAUUUCAAGACAAAUUAAUCUUGGCAAUUUCAACAACUUGACAUAAAGACAAUGGAGAAAUCUCACCAAACAUAGUUAUUAUUCUUGGACUGAAAUAUAAUUGUUUCGAACUCCAAAUCCAAUCUCCACCGUUCAGAAUGAAGAUCAAUGAGUUUUGAACGUGUUCACCAAAAAUCAGCUCAAUCGAACCAUGAAUUAACCUUGAUCGGAGCUUAUGAUAAAAAAACGUCCGGAUAGAAAACUCACCAAAAUAGAGGCUCUAUUCUCGAAUUGAAAGAAGACUGUUCGGAACUCCAAAUCCGAUCUCCACUGUUCAAAUUGAAGAUCAAUGAGUCACGAACCUCUCCAAAUUUCAAGUUGAUCGCCCCACAGACAAAGCGGGAUUAGACCUUUGAUGAAAUUUGGACAGUGAAGAAAAACUAAGUUUUUCUCUCUAACUUCAAAAAUGAUGGUUCUUCCUUUCUCUCUCUUUUCUCCUUCUACUUUUUUUUUUCUUUUUACCUCCGGUGGCUGCAAAAAAUUGGAAGAAGAAGAAGAAGAAGAGGGAUUCUUCUUCUAACCCUUUUAUAUAAAGGCCGAAGAGGCCUUAAAUUUUAGGUUCUUAAUUUGGGCCUUCCACAUGAGGAAAAACCCAACAUGAAUUUGGUUUAAAACUGAAGGCUGUUGGAGCGACAAACAAAAUGAAAUAGAGUAUUCACACAGAAUAAAUCUCAAAUGCAGUCUCAUCACCUUUGGACACUUCUGCUUUUCAGAGACAAAAUCCUCUACUGUUUUUCAUUCUAGUUGGGAUUCAGCAAACAAUGCAGUGUGCUUUUAUGUAUUAAUUCCCUAACUGCAUAAUAAAUGGAAACUGGAUUCUGACAUCAACUUGUUUUUUAUUUCAAAUCAUAUUUGGUUUGGGAAUUGGAGUUAGGAAGAAAAAAACACCUUCACCUCACUCAUUUAAACAUAAAAGCAAUAAUGGCGAUUUAGGGAUCCAUCUAUAGAAUUCCUAUCUUUUUUGUAUCUUUUCAUGCAGCAAGGAUUUUAAUUUUUCUGUUUUCCUUUUUAAUUUCUUAUGGGGUUGGGAGUGCAAACAAUUCUUCCUAGUCUAGACAUCAUCCCAAUAUCUUCUGGAAAACAUUAUUCAUUAACGAAGUAGUGAAGCAGAAAGUUUCUACCUGAAAUGAGUUGAGGCCUAGCAGUUAAGCGGACAUCUAAAGAAGGUAAACCAAGAGACACCAGAUUGAGGCAAAUACCCAAUAUGCGCACCAAACGUAAAAGCUAUGAAAUCAAAUAUAAGGGGAUUGAAAAACGACUUUCACAGAUAUUAUUUUCUGAUAUAAUACAGUAGGUUUUAGGAAAAUCCGACCAUAAAAUAAAAUCCUUGCAUACAAGUACUGAAAAAAUUAUCUUCAAUUUGGCUGUUUCCAAUCAAGCAAUAUAGGCAACAUGAAAUAUGACUCACUACACUCACUUGAUGCCAGAAAGGUCUUAGUAUGAGGGAAAUAUUGUGGUUCCUUAAAAUUCUUCAAUGCUGGUAUCCCACAAUGGUAUCCUCUGCGUCUCUUUCCAUUCUUCAACUUCAUGAGCUGUGUGUAUCAGGGAAAUAUGUGAAAUCAUUCUCCAUCUUCAACUGCUGCAUCAACGGCAGAAGGAAAUGUAGAAGGAAGAAGUUGAUUCCAAUUAUUCUCCUUUGUUUUGUGGUUUUGCAUUAAAGAAACACAUCCCAACAGCCUGACAGAUAAUGCUUAUGAAAAAUAAAAUAAAGAGACAUGAUGAAGUGAAAAGAGGAUUAUCCCAAUGAAUGAAGCAAAUGUAUUCUCUUGAUUUUCAGUUGAUGCUUUGUUUUCCCUGUUUUAGCUCCUUAAAACUCUUUCUUUCAGCUGCACUCUAAAAUCCUCUGAAUUUUCACCUUCUUUCCCCCAAUGCUCCUUAGGAUUUACAGUAGGCAACCUCCCAAUAUUUGAUUUUGGGUAUCAAUUUCAUAGUUCUAAGAUUUAAAAUUCCAAUUUUUUUUUUCCUUACAUUAAUUUUCUCAACAAAUAAGUAGUUUAUCAUCUUCUACUUUUAUGAAGUCAACCAAAAUCUCAAACAGAGCACCUACAAAACCACAAAAAAGGAAAGGGAUAAAAAAAGUGAAAAACUGCCAAUUCGUGCUUCCUUUCAAUAAUACAAAAGCGUUGAAUCUAUAUUUAUCAUCAUCUUCAAGUUUUAUGGCAUAGGCUGUCAAGAGACUAAUGAAAGUAAAACAAAAGCUUUAACAAGAUAAUCAGAGCUUGAAGCUUAAGUUUGUAGACAUGCAAGCUCAUGUGCAGUGGAAAAGAUGAAAAAUGCCUGGUGAUGAUCCAACAAUGCACUAAUCAAGGCUUGUGGGGAUUGUCGUGUCAUCCUUUGAGCUUUUGCAUUAUGGUUUUUGAUUUUCAUGGAGAUUAAGGGAUUGUUUCCUAGAGAAGGAGGUGGGAGAAAAAUAAAUGAUGAUGUUGCCAAACAAUCUUCACAAAUAAAAUCUAUUUUUGCAUUUUUCUACAAGAAUUUUACCUGGCGGUUGUGCAUAAUCAAAUGGCUCCACGACUCCCAAGUCCCAAACAAUCUAAUGAAGUAUGUAGAGUGAGAAACUAGAGAGAAACCAAAUAUAAUCAAAAUACAUGAAAAGUUAACAUAAUAUUGUAAAUAGAAAAUAAAAUAAUAUCUUGAGAGGCCAACUCAAACAAUCACAAUGCAAAUUUUGACUUUGGCCAUAUUUAUAAUAUGAAAAAUUUUAAAUACGUUUAUAUAUAAAAAAGGAAGGAAAAAAGAAUUACCUUUAAUGAGAUGAAUGCCAUGGGUGCUCAUUGUGUGGGUUGAAAAUAUGGAGUGAGGUUGUGCUUAAUGGUUUGAUCCUCCCACUUCAAUUCAUACCACCAUUUUUGGUCUUCCUCGAUUUUCUCUAAUUUCUUGCUCACUCCAGUAUUGGAAUGAAAUGGCAGCUUCCUUAAACUUCGACAUCCAGACACGUGGAUGUAUCUUAAAGAUGGAAAAGGUAGGGCACAUCCAUAUAUACUUCUUAGCUUUAGUAGCCCUUUUAAAAUGAGAGAUACGAGUCUCGAGAAUACACCCAAAUGGUCUACUUCAAUUUCUAAAACUUCACUCCUUUCAUCAUCUAUCACUUUUUCCAUUGAUUCGCAGAAUCUAAGACUUAGAAAUUGAAGGCUUUGAGCAUAAAUAAGCCAUGUCAUAUUCAACAAUUGAUAACAUCCAUAUAUGUCGACAUCACAAAGGUUGUUCAAGCAUUGGUGCCUUGAGAAUUUUGAGUAGACCACCACUUCCUUUUCAAAAUUGAUUUUCACAUCUUGCAAUUCAAAACAAUCUCUAAUAUGGAGUGCCUUUGUAUAAAGGGAUAGUUGGACCAACUUCAAAUACUUACAAAUUAACUAUAGCCCUCUUGUGGAUCUUUGUAACUUGUGGGAGUUAAAUAAUGAUUGGAUGGAUGAUUCACUUGCAAGGUUGAUGGAUAUAUCAUCAAUGUGUUCCAAUUGCUUUAACUCUUCUAAUAACCUUCUUUCAUCAUCUUCGGUAAAGGCUGACUCUUCCUCUUUUGUGCUAUACAUGCUAAACAAUUGCAAAGAGGAAAGACUUGAUACCAUUUGAGAUGGAAGUGACUCAAGAGAAUACAUAUCAUUCAAUAUCAAGCACCUUAAUUUUUCAAGUUCUUGAGCUCCACAGGUAAGUAUUCAAUACUUGUCCAUGACAAAUUAAGAUAUUGCAAGGUAACUAAGUCUCCAAUCUCCACAGGUAACUCCUUAAGAAGAAAAUUGUUUGACAAAUCCAAAACUCUUAUAAUAGGCAUGUUUGUAAAGAAUCUAUUUGGAAAUGACUGAAUAAACUUAUAUGUUGCCAAAAAGGUCUCCAUGUUAGGGAAAUAUGGUGGUUCCCUAAGCUCUUCAAUGUCGGUAUUCCUCAAUAAUGAUAUCCUCUGUGUCUCUUUCCAGUUUUCAACUUCCUUAGCUCCAAUAUAUCCAACUCCAUCUUUUACCACAAAUUUGUUCUUCUUUUUCCCGUUUUCGCGAGCCAACCACAAAGCCAAAUCACGAAUAACAUCAUGCAUCUUCAAAUAUUCGUCUUUUUCAUCUAAUGGAGAUCUGCCAUUCUCCAAUAAACAUGCAAGCUGUAAACUUUUAAUAACUUAUUCUCCUUGAUUUCUUGCUUCUUGUAUGUUGUCAUAUUCAUCCAGAAAACCCUCCCCGAUCCGAAGUUGUAUAAUUUUUCGAUGAGAGUUUUCAUAAUCCUCCGGAAAUAAAGAGCAAUAUAGGAAACAUGAUUUGAUGGCUUCAUCGGGUAGGCUAUCAUAACUGAAUGCCAAGCGUGAAAACAGAUGAUUCUCCAUACCUUGAAACUUUGCUGGAUAAUUCUUCAACAUUUCUAUUUUUUUCCUCCGUUCUUCGGGUGUUUUUGUUCCCGCCAUUGCUCGCCCUAUGGUGAUGAGGGCAAGUGGUAAGCCGCAACACUCACUGGCAACCACCUCCGCCAGCUUUGGUACAUCUGGAUGAGAAUUUAUGGUGUCUGAUCCCACCUUCGUCUGAAACAGAGCAAAAGCAUCCUCCCAUGGGAGACAAUUCGCUUCAAUGCUCUCUGUAACUUCCAUGUCUUGGCACACAUCUUUAGAUCGCAUUGUAAGUACCAUCUUCAACUUAUCUUGAUGAUUCAGAGGAAGAAUACUGAUUACUACCAAAAAGUGCUAUUUUGUAGACCUAAUUAUAAUGGUUUUAAGCACCUUUGAGUAGUAAUCAUAUUCAUUUAACCCAAUUAAUUCAUUAAGGUCCUUAGUAAUUGGUUUUAACCAUUUUGUGGCAAGUUUACAUGUUUUUAUCAGCUUAUGAAUCAAUUCAAGCAUGCCAAAUGAUGGAGGAGCUACUUGGACAAGUUAUGGCAAAGCUUUUGGAAGCUCAAAUUCAUGAAGAACCAAGCUUUGGAGCUCCAUAGCCCUUUGCCAAAGUCGUUCAAAGUAUGCAAGGAAAGAACAAUGGAGAAGAGGAAAACAGAGUGAAGAAAAUAGAGGACAGCAGCUACAAUCUUCUUUCGCACUUUUGGUGCACUUCCCGAAGUCCAUUUUCUACAUGCUAUAUACCAUUUCAAAGCUCAGGAAGUCAAGAAUCCAACGCUUUAAACCGUGUAUGAUUUGGAGCUGAAAUGAGGAAGAUAUGGCAUUCGGAAGACAACUGCUCCAGGCUUGUGCGAAAAUUUCGCACAACACCUUCCAAAUUCGCACACCCCCUUGCGUGGUGCGAAUUUUCCCCUAUUUCUGCCGACUCCACAAGAGAUCUUUUCUUUUGGAUAUUUUUGUAUAAAUUUCCAUUCUUCUCCUUGUAAUCCACCAAUCAUAAGAUUUCUUAGCUAGGAAGGUUGGAAAAACUUCUCUAUUUAUAUCCCCUUGCAUUCGUUGUAACAAAUAUUGAUAUAUAGAUAAUAUAUAUUACGUUUGACACUUAGAAUAUUUACAGAGCUCUCCCGUUUCUAUUUUCUUAGUAGCCAAAUAGCCUCUAAGGGCAUUUCCUCAGAGGAUGAUUGGCUAAAACUUUUAGUUUCUCAAAGUAUGGAUGUUAUGUGAUGGCUUGGAUGCAAUCCCAUGGAAAUUUCUCGCACCCGGAAGGUAAGGUAGUCGUUUUUCAUUAAAGGUUCAUUAAUGCAAAGUUUGGUUUUUAUUUCCUUUGGACAACUUCCAACGGCCAAUACUUGAUAAGCUUUUGGAUUUCUAUCCAUUAGUUAUCUCCUACGAGCUAUUGGAAGGUGAGGUUUUCAAUUCCAAGUUUUGUAUUAAUCCGUUAGAACCAAUUUCAAUGGCCAUUGAAAGGUGAGUUUAUCACUUGGAAUGACUUUGAGUUGCCAAUAUUUGGUAAGCUUUUGGCUUUAGACCAUUAGUUAUCUCUUACGAGCCAUUCAAAGGAAGUCUAAGGUGAAUAACCAUUGAUGAAAUUCACUACCAUCUGUUUUGCCAUUUUAAAGGAUUAAAACUUGAUUUGAUAAAUCCAUACCGGUUCGGGAAGCAAGCAUCACCAUAGUUGCAACCCCAACGCGAGGAGCCUAUCCUGAGAUUUCCAAUUUGCAUAAGAGCCAGAGCAUAACUAUCCUAUCUUUGAGAAACUUGUUUUUGCACCCUUUCAUUUUAGUCUUUAAUGUUAGCUUAGAUUAGUUUAAAUCUUUCUAAAACAUUUACAUCUUCUUUUAAAGCUAACAUCCAUAAGAAAAUCACCUAUUUUCCUAAUUUGAAUAUCACUAGUGUUUGCGAAAACCCUUCCCAGUGAACGAUCCUAGAACCACUAUGCUAUAGUAGCUUGGCUACUUUAGUAAUAGUAUUCAAGGUAUAAAUUUUGUUGAUACGCCUUUAAAGCUAAGCUACCAUGAGUCGAAUCAAAUACCAACUUUGGAUAGAUCCAGCUGCUCCCCAUAUGUCGUCUAACAAGAGCACAAAUUUCUUUGUCUUCAGGACAUUGAAUAUUUCUUUUGCCCUUUCAUCCUCACUCCUACCUUCCCAUUUAUCUUUGGGAAUCUCCAAUUUAUUGAAAAGAACUCGCUGAACCUUUUCCACAUUGGCUGGUCUGGACACAGUCACCUAAAUCACUGCAUCAAGUUCAAGCCUGGUUUUGAGGAGCUCAUUGUUGAUCCUGGUCAAGAGGGUGGUUUUGCCCACACCCCCCAUUCCAUAUAAUCCGAUACUGCUUACCUGCUCUCCAUCAUCUUGGAGCCAUUUCCAGACCUUCCCAAACAACAAAUCUUGGCCCACAGUCUUGUCCAGAGGCCUCUCGAUCACGGGAGGACCAGGCAAAGGUUCAGCAACUACACUGAAAUUUGAGCCCUCCGUCUUCUUUACCGUCACAACAUCCAUCUUUUCAAGUACCAUCUUGCCAAGCUUGUAGCUAGCGCCACAGUUUUUAGGACAAUAGGUUCCGAGACAUAUCUUCUGGAUUUCUUCAUCACCUAUGGCCAAUAUUUCCAUCACUUGUUCUUCCAUGGCUUCUACAUUGCGGAGCCAGCCAUCGACUACAUGAGUACGCUUCUUCUGAAGUUUCUGUUAGAAUUCAACCAAGAUGAAUACCCUAAUUUCAUAUAUACUGGAAUAGUUAACAAGGUAAAUACCCUAAUUUCAUAUAUAUUGAAAUAUUUAACAAGGUGGAUACCCUAAUUUCAUAUAUACUGGAAUCUCCUGAUUAAAAAACAAUGAGUGGAAAAAUAAUAGCGAAAGCAUACCUGAAUCCAUUGAAGGAGAAACCUUAUAGGAAGAAAACCCUUUGAGAUGGUCUUCCAAUUCUAGCCACUAGAUUCUGUGUCAAUUUCUCUCUGAGAGGAUUUUCAGAAAUUGGAAUGCGUAGUCGUAGAAUGGGGACCAUAACCCUAUUUAUAAACCGCUAGGGCAGUUUUAAUUUUAUCACAAUUAUAUUUCUGCCCCUCAUAGAAAUAAUAAUUGUCUAAUAGUAUCUACACAAUAAUCUCAUGACAAUUAUACCCUUAAGCCAAUUAAUCAAUUAUUAAUUAGAUCACUAUAUUUAGGCUUAAUUAAAUGAUAGCACACACAUUUUAAUUAUUUACAUAAGUGGCCCAAAUUAUAGAUUAAUUACAAAAAUUAAUCUAACAAUCUCCCACUGGGCCACAUGCAUAUGUAAUCAAAUAAAUGUGCUUAACCUUAUGAGCUCAAAAUUUGCUAUCAUGUCCUUAGGGUAUAUCCGAACAAUCUCGUCCAUUAACUAUACUGACAUAGGAUCAAGGUGGCCUUUGUUACAUCAAUCAUUACUAGACCAAUCAAUGGUCACAUAUAUCUGCACAGCUAAAUGACAUAGAUCAAUCAUGAGUGCAUAACAUGGAAAUUACAUGCAAUGUGAUCUAUUCAUGCCUAUUUCCAACUGGUCCAACUUAACUUUAUUGAGAUCAAAUCUUUAGCAUAAUUUAACAGAGUGCAAUAAAAUGAAUACUUUAUUUCUGCAGAACACAAUCCAAAUGUAUAGAUAAAGUCUAAACAUAACAUAGAGCAAUAUACAAUGAAUAAUACAAACUCCCACUAAAUUUGGAUAUCCUCAAAUNNNNNNNNNNNNNNNNNNNNNNNNNNNNNNNNNNNNNNNNNNNNNNNNNNNNNNNNNNNNNNNNNNNNNNNNNNNNNNNNNNNNNNNNNNNNNNNNNNNNUGCUCUAUGGAUAUCUGUCAACUCUGUACUUUUUCUUUUACAACUAGGAACUUGAUAUCAAUGUAUUUUGAUUUUGUAGAACUCCUAUUGUUAUUGGAAUAUAAAACUGCUGAUUUAUUGUCACAAAAUAUCUUCAGUGGUCUUUCAAUACCAUCCAGAACACGCAGCCCAGUGACAAAAUUUCGUAGCCAUAUUCCUUGAUUGGAUGCCUCAUAACAUGCUACAAACUCUGCUUCCAUGGUGGAUGAAGUUACGAGUGUCUGUUUGCCAGACCUCCAUGAAAUUGCUCCACCAGCCAACAGAUAAAUAUAGCCUGAUGUGGAUCUUCUGCUGUCUUGGCAUCCAGCAAAGUCGGAGUCGGAAUACCCAAUCAACUCUAACUGAUCCAAUCUCCUAUAUGUAAGCAUGUACUCUUUUGUUCUCUGUAAAUAUCUCAUAACCCUCUUGGCUGCUCUCCAAUGAUCCAUUCCAGGGUUACUUAGAUAUCUGCCUAACAUGCCAACAAUGUAUGCAAUAUCCGGACGUGUACAUACCUGAGCAUACAUUAGACUCCCCACAGCCGAAGCAUAAGGAAUCUUUUGCAUUUCUUGACUUUCUAAACUAUUUUUAGGGCAUUGAUUAAGACUGAAUUUGUCUCCUUUAGCGACAGGGGUAUCACUUGGUUUGCUAUUUUGCAUGCCAUACCUUUGGAGGACUUUAUCAAUAUAGGUCCUUUGUGACAAUCCUAAAAUACCCCUAGAACGAACUCGGUGUAUCUGGAUUCCUAAGACAAAGGAGGCAUCACCAAGAUCUUUCAUCUCAAAAUGUUUUGAUAAAAAUCUCUUGGUGUCGUGCAAUAUGCUAAUAUCAUUUGUGGCUAGCAAUAUGUCAUCGACAUAUAAAACCAGGAAAAUAUACUUACUCCCACUGAAUUUGUGAUACACACAUUCAUCCAUAAGAUUUGCCUCAAAACCAUAUGAGACAAUAAUUUGAUGAAACUUGAAGUACCACUGACGAGAAGCUUGCUUGAGCCCAUAAAUGGAUUUAGUUAAUUUACAAACCAUAUUCUUUGAGUCUUCGGACACAAAAUUUUCUGGUUGUACCAUAUAAAUUGUUUCAUCAAUGUCACCAUUGAGAAACGCUGUUUUAACAUCGAUUUGAUGUAACUCAAGAUCAUAAUGUGCAACUAGUGCCAUGAUUAUCCUGAAAGAGUCCUUCGUAGAAACUGGAGAGAAGGUCUCUUUGAAGUCAAUUCCUUCUUUUUGAGUAAAGCCUUUAGCUACAAGACGUGCUUUAUAUCUUUCUACAUUACCAUUUGAAUCCUUCUUGGUUUUAAAUAUCCAUUUACAACCAAUGGGCUUCGUACCAACUGGUAAUGGGACAAGUUCCCAAACUUUAUUGUCUUGCAUAGAUUUGUACUCUUCAUUCAUGGCUUCAAUCCAUUUCUGAGAGUUGGAACUUUUCAUGGCUUGCUGGAAGUUGAUUGGAUCAUCUUCCAUCAUUCCACUUUCUACCUCACGUUCCUGGAGAUAUACGAUAUAAUCGUCCGAAAUUGCAUUUCUCCUCUCUCUAGUGGAUCUCCUUAAUGGCAUAUUUUCUUGAGGUUGUUGAGUUUGUUCUUCAGGAGCAAUGUCCUCAUUUGCAAUUAAGGGUUGAACAAUAUUGUCUGUUGGUUGAGGAUCCAAAUUUACUUCUUGAUCAAUGAUAGGUAGUGAAACCUGUACAUUAUCAAAAGCAAUAGUAGAUCCCUCUUCCUCCUCAAAGACAAUAUUCCUAGCCUGAUUUCUCCCCCCAAACUCAACAUCCUCAAAAAAUGUUGCAGUUCCCAUCUCAAAAAUUGACCUAAUAGCAGGAUCAUAAAAUUUAAAACCCCUUGAUCGCUCUGCAUAGCCAAUAAAGUAGCUGCUAACUGUUUUAGAGUCCAAUUUCUUUUCAUGAGGCUUAUAAGAUCUCGCUUCAGCUGGACAUCCCCAAAUAUGAAAAUGCUUUAAACUAGGCUUUCGACCUGUCCAAAGCUCAUAAGGCGUUUUAGCAGCCGCUUUAGUUGGCACCCGAUUUAGGAUAUAAGCUGCCGUUUUGAGUGCUUCACCCCAGAGUUUUUCGGGUAAAGUAGAAUGACUAAUCAUACUCCUUGCCAUGUCCUUAAGGGUUCGGUUUUGUCUUUCUGCUACACCAUUCAUGCUAGGUGAUCUUGGCAUGGUGUAUUGAGGGACGAUCCCACAUUCCUCUAGGUAUUUAGCAAAUGGUCCUGGACGUUGUUCACCUGAUCCGUCAUAUCUACCAUAGUAUUCACCACCACGGUCAGAUCUGACGCUCUUUAUUCUUUUGUUGAGUUGUAACUCAACUUCUGCUUUAAAUGUUUUGAACACGUCCAAUGAUUGUGAUUUCUCAUGUAUAAGAAAUAGGUAGCCAUAUCUUGAAUAGUCGUCUAUGAAUGUUAUAAAGUACUGUUGACCAUUCCAAGAUGCCAUAGGGUAUGGUCCACAGAUAUCUGUAUGAAUUAAUUCUAAGACGUCUGUAGCUCUAUUGGCACCUAAUUUCUUUGUUUUGGUCUGUUUUCCUUUAAUACACUCAACACAAAUAUCAAAAUCUGAAAAGUCAAGUGAAUCCAAAAUCCCAUCGGACACAAGUCGCUCAACUCUAGAUUUAGAGAUAUGACCUAGGCGUUUGUGCCACAAUGAGGCCGAAUGAUCUUUAUUCAAUUUACGUUUCGUACCUCGUGAUUCCACAUGCAAGGUUUCAUUAUAGGACGGAAUAGUUUCCAACAAAUAUAGAUUAUCAUAAACAUUAAGUAAACCGGUUCCUACAGCAUUUGAAUUAAUAGAUAAUGUAAAUCUAUUGUUUCCAAAUGAACAAUAAUAAACUGAUUUGUCCAAAACAGAAACUGAAAUUAAAUUCCGUCUGAAAGACGGUACAACAAAAGUAUCUAUUAAAUCCAAAAAAUAACCAGAUUUCAAUAAUAAUCUAAAGUGCCCUAUUGCCUCUACUUCUACCGACUGACCGUCUUCGACAUAGAUGCAUCUUUCAGCAUCACUUGGUUUUCGGUAACUCAGGCAACCCUGCAUAGAAACACAAAUGUGAGUAGUAGCACUAGAAUCUAACCAUCAUGUGUUUCUAGAUACUGAAGCUAAAUUAACUUCAGAACAGACCAAAGUAAGAAACAUACCUUUCUUAACACGCCAAGCAGCAUACUUGGUACAUUCCUUCUUAGUAUGUCCAGGCUUAUUACAGAAGAAACAUGUUACCUCAACUUUCUGUUUCUUUUGUUCUGGACCAUUAGAAGUAGCAACCUUAUUAUCCUUAUUCUUUCGUUUGCCCUUAUCCUUGGAAGUGCUAGCCAGAUGAGCACUUUCGGUCUUGUCUUGCUUCAAUCUCUCUUCCUCUUGCACACAGAAUGAAAUGAGCUCAUUAAGAGUCCGUUUAUCCUUUUGACAGUUAUAACUGACCUUGAAUUGAUUAAAUUGUGCAGGAAGAGAGAUGAGAACCAAAUGCACGAGUAAAUCAUCAGAUAACUCGAGUUUCAAAGCCUUAAGUUUUGAAGCAAGAUGAGACAUCUCCAUGAUGUACUCCCGAACAUUACCCUUGCCUUUAUACUUCAUUGAAAUCAAGCUUGCUAAAAGCGUGCUCGUUUCAGCCUUAUCGUUUUUGGCAAAACGUUUUUGAAUUUCCGCAAGGAAGUCACUGGCAUUAGUAACCUCAUCGGUUACCGCACCCCUGAAAGCUUCUGGAAUGCCGCGCUUCAUGAUCAUAAGACUUAGCCUAUUUGAACGUUCCCACUUACCCCAAUAAACCUCAUCCUCUUGAGUACUUUGCUCAUUGAGUUCAUCAGGUUUGGGCAUUCUCAAGGCCAAGUCUAUAUCCAUGCAGCCUAAGAGAAUCAUCAUAUUCUCUUUCCAGUCGUUAAAAUUAGUCCCAUUUAACAUAGGGACAUUAUUGAUGUUGGCAGAUAUAGAAGUAGUUGAUAUAAAAGCUGAAUCGAGAACAAAAUAAAAUGAAUCAAAUAAACCAUCAUGCUCACAUAAAAUAAGCAAUUAAACACAUAAUCUUUAAAUUUAAAAGCAAAUUAUGACAUUUCAAGAUACCUAGCACAACAUUAAUAUCAAGUCUUUGGACAGUAAUAUUAACUGUAAGUGGUACUCUUGUUGUAGUGAUCAAACAUUGAUGAUAAGUUAUGUCAAAUAAUAAAUCUAUCUUUGGAUUGAUUUAUUAUUCACAUUAAGUUACCUUUAUAAUCAUCACAUAUUUAUCACCACAAGUAUGUAUGCAAUUUGACCAAAUAUUAACUUUCCUUUGGGCCAGUCAAUACCCGCAUGAAUCACAUACACACAAAUAUCUAACACCCCGAACAGACUAAUCUACACGGAAGAUGUCACUUUGGUGAUUUUCCGCUUUAAUUAGCCUAUUUAAAAUGCUAGAUCAAUAACUUAAAUAUUAAUAUCAUAAAAUGCUAUUAAAUAAUAAUAAUAAUAAUAAUAAUAAUAAUAAUAAAAAUUUUAUCAGCUCAAUAUUUCAUAAAUCUUAAUCCAUUGACAUAUAUUAAAAUAAUAACUCAAAGAAUUAAUCAAGGAGUAGGCUCUGAUACCACUUGUUAGAAUUCAACCAAGAUGAAUACCCUAAUUUCAUAUAUACUGGAAUAGUUAAUAAGGUAAAUACCCUAAUUUCAUAUAUAUUGGAAUAUUUAACAAGGUGGAUACCCUAAUUUCAUAUAUACUGGAAUAGUCUUGUUAAAAAACAGUGAGUGGAAAAAUAAUAGCGGAAGCAUACCUGAAUCCAUUGAAGGAGAAACCUUAUAGGAAGAAAACCCUUUGAGAUGGUCUUCCAAUUCUAACCACUAGAUUCUGUGUCAAUUUCUCUCUGAGAGGAUUUUCAGAAAUUGGAAUGCGUAGUCGUAGAAUGGGAACCAUAACCCUAUUUAUAAACCGCUAGGGCAGUUUUAAUUUUAUCACAAUUAUAUUUCUGCCCCUCAUAGAAAUAAUAAUUGUCUAAUGGUAUCUACACAAUAAUCUCAUGACAAUUAUACCCUUAAGCCAAUUAAUCAAUUAUUAAUUAGAUCACUAUAUUUAGGCUUAAUUAAAUGAUAGCACACACAUUUUAAUUAUUUACAUGUGUGGCCCAAAUUAUAGAUUAAUUACAAAAAUUAAUCUAACAGUUUCUCUUCACGUUCCACCCCUUUCCUUCACAUCUUCGUAUAGGUUCUUGAGUUCCUCCAUUGCAGUUCUCAAAGAGUUGAGAUUUUGUGGGAGAUGACGGAUGUAAACAGCACGCUUGGCAGUGCAAUUCCACAAGCGAGUAGCGACAUCCAGGAUUGGGCUCACACAAUCCACGGAGAAAACAAGGACUGGGAUUCAAAGCCAAGAAGAACUUAAUCAGAAUAGGAAAACAGGUGCUGGAUUGAAAUUGGAGAGGAAAAGAGAAGAAUUCUGGAUUUAUGUUUGUUGUGUACAAAACCCAGCAAAGUUGUAGAUCAGUAAGGAGAAAAGUAAUAAUGAAAUAUCACUUUUUUUUUCAAGUAAAAGACUCCGCAAUCAGUGUAUGAUGUACUCAAAUUACAUAUCCAAAAUCAAAAUGAGUUCACAUUUGGGUAAUGGAAAAAAAUAAAUUCUAAACAAAAUUAGCAAAGUAUUGUGCAUGCUUUAGAAAGUUUGGUGAUUCAUAAAGGAAGAAAAGAAGAAAAGCACCGAAAGUGCGGAUUCUUUGAUAACAUUUUUCAAGACAUUCAUUCGCAUCAUAUAUCAUUUGUGUCUUUUAAUCAUUAUUAAAUGUUGGACAUCAUUCAUGACUCAAGACCUAUAUGAAGAGUGCUUUUUUUAUUUUUUAUUUUUAUAAAAUAUAAUAUUCUAAAUAAUAAAUAUUACUAACAUUUUACAAAAAGAAUAUUUACUUGUUCAUUUGUAAAUAAUUUUUAUUUUUUACUUUUGUUAAUUUUUUGUAAGAGGAUAUUUUGAUAUUCUCAACAACUCAAAUUAGUGAAACAGGCGAUGGAUAGGAGUUGGUGAGGUGAAGAGAAGAAUAUUGGGUUUAUGUUUUUGUGUUCAAAACCCAGAAAAGAUGAUAAUGAAUAAAGACUGAAGUAAUAAUGACAUUGUCUUCCAUGCAGACUGUCAAGCUCUGUAAAGAUGAAUAUAAGGCCACCCCACCACUUCUGGUAUGAUAUUUUCCCAUUCUUUCCUUCCUUUGUGUUUCCAUCAAUCAAGCAUAGUAAAGGGUCCACAGCUUUUCUGGGUUUCUCUUUUCCUUUAGUGGGAAUCUUUUUCUUCCAACACAAAUAUGAAUUCAUUUACAUAUGAAGUUUGUGUACUGGUUUGUAACUAUAAAACUGUAAGUAGCAGUGCAUAUAAUUCUUCAUCCGUUCUACUGUUUAAAAAUAUAAUUCUUUUUUCUUGAUAGGUUGGGAUCCAUUUUAUUAGUAAUUAUUUAGGAAUUUAUUAGGUUUCUUUCAUCAUUCCAAACACGAAUUUAUUAGGAAUUUAAGGAUUUUUCCGUAAUCCCAUUCCAAGUUUUGGAUUAUCAAACAUGGGUACAUGAGCGGAGGAGAAUUAAUUGGUUUUUGAAUUUUUUUUGAUGAUAUACAUAAACAAAAUUUUGUUAAUUUAUUUUUGGAGAAGUAAUUUUUAUUUAUUGAAAAUUUGAUUUUUAUUUAUUUGAAAAACGAGGAUAUUCAAAUUGUUGAUUAUAACCAAAUAUCUAAUUACAAGAAAAAAAAAAAGAUUAAUAUAAAGAUAAAAUUGCAACCUCUCUCUCAAUUAAGAUGAGAGAAUUUAAAAUCUUACAAAAUGAUGAAAGAAAGCCUCUUUUUUUUUUUUUUUUAAUGAAUAGUAAGGGGUGGAGACCACGUUUUAUAGCAUAGGGAAACUCCCCCCCUUUUGUCUUCUAAACGAGAUGGGAUGACUUCAACUUUGACACGAUACACUUAGAAAUGUAAGGUUGGAAUGAUUAUUUAUUUCUAUUUUAAUGUUAAGUAACAAUAAAAAUGAGAAUGAAAGAGAAAUAAGUUCACAAUAAUAUCUAUACGCAUAGUUUAAAAUAAUUUUUUAUUUGUAGGACAUCUAAUAAUGGUUUAAAAUCAUAGUUAUUUUUUACCAUAUUUUGUUAUGAUAAUAGUAAUUAACUCCAAAAACAAUGAAAGUUCAUUUGUAUAUUUGUAUAUAGGUUUAUUUGAGCACUUAAAAAUGGUUAACUUGGAUAUAUUUUUAUGAUAGAGAAUUCUCUAGCUAAGAAGUCUUCUCUUAUGCACUUGUUUGUACAUUUAUAAUUAUUUUCUUUAGGUUAUAUAUGGUUCAUGAUUUUUUUUUUAGAGGAAAGAAAAUAGUGAGAAAAUUAUAAGGAAAAAAAUUUAUAAAAAUAUUUCGGGAGACGUCUCCUUGAUGUUUGGGUUUGAUUCAGCUAUGGAUUUGGGUGACAAAGAUCACACAUUUGAUGAUGGAUGAUUUGAUGUUGUCCGAUUUUCGGCUUAUCCUACAUCUGAUUCCAUACUGGGGCAUAUUUCUGUUUCGAUUGAGAUUUACAGAUCUCAUGGAGUCGCAUGAUCAUCCUCACCUACUAGAUAAACGCUGAGAUGAUGACCUGUUUAUUAUCUUAUCAUGAUUCCUCAGUGGAGCCUCUCUAGAGCCAUCUAGUCAGACCCCCAUUUUUCGGCAUUUGGUUGUCAUCAUGUUUCUCAUUUUGGGGUACGCCUUUUGAUCUAUGAGUUCGAUUCAGUUAUGGAUGUGGAUGACUAGGAUUGCACAUUCAAUGAUGGAUAAUUUAAUAUCAUCUAGUUUCCCAACCUAUCACACAUUCGAUGCCAUACCAGGGCAUAUUUCCGUUUUGGUUGAGAUUUGUAGAUCUUCAUUGAUUUGCAUGAUUGUCCCCAAUCAUGAGAUGCACGUUGGGCUAAUGGUUUGCUUUCAUUUUGUCCAGAUUCUCUAGUGGAGCCUUUCUUGAGUCAUUCAAUCAAGCUCAUAUUUUCUGAUAUUGUCAUGAUUCUUAGAUGAAGUUAUCUCAGGUGCAUAAACUCCCACAUCAUCAUUUCAGUAGAGUGCAUGUCAGGUCUCUUACACGUCCCCAUUGAGCUAUACUGGGGCAUAUUUCCCUCUUUUAGUUGCGGAGAUGAUUGUAUUCUCACAGACUUGUUAUAGUCUUCAUUACUUGGACGAGGGAUAUUUCUUUGCAUUACUGGUCACAGUUUCAGUGAUUUUAGUCGAGAUGGUCUCCAAAGGAGCACAACCUUCUGGGUUUUAACUACCCCUCUAUCCAUGACCUUUCAGUAGAUUUUUGUGUUGGGGUCGCAGUAGUUACCCUAUUAGACUAUUCUCUUGAGACUUCUUAGUGGAUCAUUCAUUUGAGAUGACGAUGGACUCCUCCAGUAAAGCAUUUUGAGUUAGAGGCGCUUGACUUAUUGUGACACAUCAUCAGGCCUCGUGAUUUAGUCGGAUGGAUUAUGAGGCUGUACUUAUAAUCGAUUUGAUCAUUCCGACUCUCUAGUGGAGCAUCUUUCGAGACACAGUGAGCCUCUUUCAGACCUUUCCAGUGGAUUGAGAGUUGUGGCGGCACGCUACACUAGGGCAUGUUUCCCCCUUUAUCAUUUCCUUGCAGAUUGGCGUUCAGAGCCACCAUAUUUUCUCAGUUAUGACGUUUAGAGUCGUCAUUCUCAGUUCGACGUUCAGAGUCGUCCUUUUCAGUUUGGCGUUCAAAGCCACCAUCUCCUUGUAGCUUGGCGUUCAGAGCCAUCAUCGCUUCUCAGUUACGACGUUCGGAGUCGUCUUUCUCAGUUUGACAUUCAGAGAUGUCAGUUCUCAGUUAUGGCGUUUAGAGCCUUUAUCUUCUUUAGUUCAUUGUUCAGAGCCACCAUCUAUUCUCAGUUCGACGUUCAGAGUCAUUCUUCUCAGUUCGACGUUCAGAGUCAUCCUUCUUAGUUUCAGCGUUCAGAGCCACCAUCUCUUUUCAGUUUGGGGGUUCAGAGCCACUAUCUCUUUUCAGUUUGGCGUUCAGAGCCACCAUCUCUCCACAGUUUAGUUUUUAGGGCCACCACAUUUUUUCAGUUUGGCGUUCAGAGCCGUCGUUCAUAGUUUGACAUUCACAGUCGUCGUCCACAGUUAAGCGUUUAGAGCCACCAUCUCUCCACACCCGUCUAGGUUAACUUAGGCGGCCCAUUUAGACACUUUAGGCCCGUCUAGCUUCAUUUAGGCCCACUUAGGCACACUUAGCCCACUAGACAUUUUUAGAGUGACUUGUAUGGUUGCAUGGAUCAUUUAUCUCAUUUACUUAUUUAUUUUUAUUUUUUAUUAUUAUUAUCAAUCACUUUUAUUUAAUCAUUUACUAUAUUUUUAUUUGUUUAUUUAUUUUAAUUUACUUUCAUUGUUAUCAAUCACUUUUAUUUAUUGAGUUAUUUUUUAUUUCUUGUUUAUUUAUUUGUUUAUUAUUUUGUUGUUUAUUCAUUUAUUUAUUAUUAUUAUUUCAUCAUUCUCUAAUUUAUUUAUUUUAUUCAUUUAUUUAAUUUGAUAAUUUGAUGUUUUUAUGGGAAAAUUUGCCAACUGGAGGAAAAAGAAUUUUGAAAUUGGUAAGAAUUUGAAAAGGAAAGAAACUCUUCGAAGAUGGGACUCUUUACGUGAUAUGCAUGGAUUCACUUGUGAAAUUUUUAAAAAGGAGUUUUUUUGGUGGAUGAGAUAGAAUUUGGCAGAGAGGAGAAGUCCUCAGUGGGGACGACUCUAAUUGCUAUAAAAAGCAUAGGUGGUGGGUAUGAAUGGGGGGAUUUUUUGGAGGAUCUUGAGAGGGAGAAGAAGGAAGCACGACAAAGUGGAGUAAGUGAUUUGGGACAAUAUACAAGCGGGGAUUUUCUUAUCAGGGGGAGCGUUUUCCAGGUACGUUUUUUGUAGACCCUUUGUAAGAAAACAGAGUAGAAAUCUGGUGUAUAUUUCAUUCAUCAACUUAAAGGGAAGAAGAUACAUAUAUACAAAGUAUUGGUUAGCCUAUUUUAGGAAUCUAUGAGCAAACGUAUCAGUUACAAUCAAUCAAAAUAAUCUUCUAUAUACAAUCAAAUAUCAUCCUCAAAUUACGGGAUCCUUGAUUCCUUUCCCUUAAUACUCCCCCUCAAGUUGGAGCGUGUAUGUCAAGAACGCCAAACUUGCUGAGAAGGGAAUGAAAAAUUGAUGAAUUGAGUGGCUUAGUGAACAAAUCAGCAAGCUGGCAAGACGAUGGAACAUGAGCAGUUACUAUGGCUCCUGAUUGAAUUCGUUCUCGAACAACAUGACAAUCAAUUUCUAUAUGCUUGGUACGUUCAUGGUAAACUGGAUUAGCAGCAAUAUGGAGUGCUGCUUUACUAUCACAGAAUAGUUUGGCAGGUUGCGAGUGUUCUACUUUCAAGUCAUCCAACAAAUACCUGAGCCAUGUAAGUUCACAUGUAAUGGAAGCCAUUGCUCGAUAUUCUGAUUCAACUGAUGACCUUGACACUGUUGUCUGUUUCUUGGUUUUCCAUGAAAUGAGAGCUCCUCUAAGAAAAAUACAAUAUCCAGUCACAGAUCGUCUUGUGAUCGAACAUCGAGCCCAAUCUGAAUCACAAAAUCCUCUUAGUAGCAAAUUUCCUUUUGCAGGAAAAUAUAAUCCUUGUCCAGGUGCACCUUUAAGAUAUCGUAGAAGAUGAUGAACAGCAUGCAAAUGAGGCUUUCUUGGUUCUUGCAUAAACUGGCUUAAAAUGUGAACUGAAUAACUUAUCUCUGGCCUUGUAAUGGUAAGAUAAAUGAGUUGUCCGACCAAUCUUCUAUAAGUGGAUGGAUUCUUCAAUAAAUCUCCUACUGUGGGUAGGAGUUUAUUAUUUUCUUCCAUAGGUGUUGACAAUGGUUUGGCCCCAAGCAAGCCUGCUUCAUCUAAAAUAUCAAGAGUAUAUUUUCGCUGAGAUAUUGAAAUACCAUCAGUAGAACGAGCAACUUCAAUACCAAGGAAAUAUCGUAAUUGACCGAGGUCCUUGAUGCGAAAUUUGGUGUGGAGAGACUCCUUAAGAGCUGCAAUUACAUUCUCAUCAUUGCCGGUGAUGAUCAUGUCAUCUACAUAGAUGAGCACAGCUGUGAAAGAAUUACCAGAGAUCUUUGUGAAAAGUGAAUAAUCAGCCCUUGAUUGAUGGAAACCAUCUUGUUGAAUGGUGGCCGAAAAUUUCCGAAACCAGCUACGAGAGGCUUGUUUAAGUCCAUAUAAUGACUUGUUGAGUCGACAUACCAUAGGUGUCUCCCCCUGUUGACGAAAACCGAGUGGCAAUUGCAUAUAGACUUCUUCAAGCAAAUCACCAUGGAGAAAGGCAUUUUGAACAUCCAUUUGGUGAAGUGACCAAUGUCGGACAGCAGCUAUAGCAAGUAAACAUCGAACUGUAGUUAACUUAGCCACAGGAGAAAAGGUCUCCUUAUAGUCAAUCCCUUCGCGUUGAGUGAAGCCUUUCGCCACCAACCGAGCUUUGUAUCGCUCAACUGUGCCAUCAGAGUUAUAUUUGAUCUUAUACACCCAUUUGCACCCAAUUGGACGAUGACCGUAAGGGAGAGGUGUGAGUGUCCAAGUGUGAUUUUGUUCAAGAGCAUGGAGUUCUGCAGCCAUAGCUUCCUGCCAUUUUGGAUCUAAUACUGCCUGUUCAUAAGUUGUAGGUUCCACAAGAGUGGUGAUGGCACAAACAAAAUUCCGAUAUUUUGGUGAGAGUUGUGCAUAGGAAAUAUACCGAGUCAAAGGGUGACGCGUACCUGACAAGGAAGAAGAUUGGCUGGAAGCAACCUUGGCGGUGUGGUAGAGAUGAAAAUUCCGGAGGUGGACAUUGGGUUGCUUGAUGCGGUCAGAACGACGAGUAGUAGGAGGUGGAGGUGACACAAUGGUGUCAAGAUGAAGUGUGCGUUCAUUAGAGGUAGACUCAAGAGAUGAAAGCAAUGGUGGUGGCUGAUCAUCGGCUUGUGGUUUGGUUGUCUCUGUGGUUAUGGGUUCAUAUGAGGUUUGUGGUAAAGGAAGAACUACCACAUCAUGUUGUUCUUCUUGUGGAUUAGUGUGAAACGGAAAUAUAUGUUCAUGAAAGACAACAUCUUGGGAAGAAAAGAAUUUAUUAGUGUCAAGAUCAUAAACCCGAUAACCCUUUUGACCAAGAGGAUAACCAACAAAUAUGCAACGACGAGCUCUUUGAUCAAAUUUAUGUGUGGGUAAGAGAUUGGUGGCAUAACAAAGACAUCCAAAAGUUCGUAGAUGAUGAUAUGAAGGUAGCUUGUUAUGGAGAAGUUGGUAUGGCGAUUUGUGAGAAAGAAGGGGUGUAGGUAAGCGAUUGAUUAAAUAGCAAGCCGUUUGAAUACUUUCCCCCCAAAAUUUUAACGGCAAGUUUGCUUGAAAACGAAGAGCUCUUCCCACAUUUAAAAGAUGACGAUGUUUCCUCUCAACCACCCCAUUUUGUUGGGGGGUGUAAGCACAUGAAUGAUGGUAAUUGAUCCCCUUAGUAUCCAAAUACUGUUUCAUAGAGGAAAUUUCAGUCCCAUUAUCGGUUCGAAGGGUUUUAAUGCAACGAUUAAAUUGGGUUUCCACCCAAGAAAUGAAUGAUUGCAAUAUCCCUUGUGUUUCAGAUUUAAAACUCAUGAGAUGUAUCCAAGUAUAUCGAGUAUGAUCAUCAACAAUUGUUAGGAAAUAACAAGCCCCAGAGUGAGAAUUUAUUCGAUGUGGUCCCCAAAUAUCACAAUGUAUCAAAUCAAAAGGUGCAUGAGAAGAAAUGAAACUAGAUGGAAAGGACAAACGAGUUUGUUUGGCUAAAGGGCAAAUAUCACAAACAUGCUUGGAAUCAAAAUAAAUUUUAGGAUUAACUUUAGCAAGAACUUGAAGAGGACCGGAUGAUGGGUGCCCAAGACGUUGAUGCCAAAGAUCAGAAUGUUUGUGAAUGGCGUAAGCCAAGGCUGGAUUUUGGUCUUGUGCGAGGUAGUAGAGGCCAUUAUGUUGCUUGCCCAGGCCAAUCGUCUUCCUCGUAGUAGCGUCCUGCACAACACAAAAAUCGAAAAAAAACAUCACUAUACAUUGUAAUGCCCGCGUUAGUUUACUAACUGAUAGUAAAUUAACUUGAAAUUGUGGAACUUUGAGUACGUCAUCAAGUUUAAUGUGGGGGGUAACAUGCAAUGAACCAAUUGACUCAAUAUGUGCUUGACCACCAUUUGGCAAACUAAUGGUAGUGGUUUUGGGCAAAUUCUUCGGAUCUAAUAAUUCAGCUGAGGAAGUCACAUGAUCCGUGGCUCCGCUAUCAAUAAUCCAACACAUAUUUGAGUGUGGGCAAUUCGGAAUAAUUUUGGACGAUGACAUAUUUAUACCUGUGGCAUUUGCAAAAUGUUGUGAAUUACCACCGUUGUUUUUCCGAAUCAUAGCCAUUAAUUGGUUAUAUUCCUCAGUUGUGAGCCUUGGUCCAUCAUUUGUUGGAAGAAGUUUUGCUUCUGUCUCCACAGCCUUAUUUGUUUCCACUUUCACAUUGUUUGCAUUUGAGUGACGUUGAUUGGGAGGCUUCACGUUCUUCCCAUGGAGCUUGUGGCCAAUCGGAAAGCCAUGUAGGUAGUAACACUUCUCAAUGCUAUGAUAAUCACGGUCACAAUAAGAGCAGUGCAGUGGAGUCUUUUGCUUUUGAACCUGGUGUGCUGAAGUCGCCUUAUUGUCCCGAUCUGCAAGCAUGGCAUAAUGGUUCUUGUUCCCAUUAUUGAGAGAAACUUCAACCUGUUUUUCUUGUUGAAGGACAAGUGAGUAAACUCGGCGUGUAUCGGGUAGAGGGUGCAUCAAUAAGAUUUGUCCACGAAUGGCAGCAUAACUAUCAUUCAAUCCCAUGAGAAAUUGCAUAACUCUCUCUUUUUCAUCCCUUUCCUUAAGUUUCUCUAAUCCUCCACAAGAACAGGAUAACACUUCAUGAUAGGAUGAAAGUUCAUCCCAAAAAGCUUUAAGCUUUGUGUAAUAAACCGAAAUUGAUUGCUGCCCCUGCCUAUGCUCCACAAUGUCUCGCUUGAUUUGAUAAAUUCUUGAAUCGUUUCCUUGCGAAAAACGUUCUCGCAGAUCUGCCCAGAUUUCUGAUGCUGUUUCGGCAUAAAUCACACUGUUGGCUAUGUCUGGAUGAAUAGAAUUCAAUUGCCAUGAGAUCACCAUAUCAUUGCAACGUUGCCAAGAAGGGAAACUAUCAUCAGUCGAAGAGGGUGGCUUAAUGGAACCUGUGACGAAUCCAAUUUUGUCUUUAGCACUCAAACUGAUCCUCAUAGCCCGACUCCAUGUGCUGUAGUUAUCUCCUUCAAUUACUUUGGAGACAAGUACCAUACCCGGGUGGUCCGAGUGGUGUAGAGAGAAGGGAUCUAAAGCUUCUGUGGUAGCCUUAGAUGAUGUCAAUCCCGUUUUGUUGGCGUCCAUGGCAGCAGCUGUAACGAGGAAAUAAGUUGCGGAAGCGUUUGGAAGAAUUCAGAGUCACCAGGUUUGGUGCUCUGAUACCAUGUAAGAAAACAGAGUAGAAAUCUGGUGUAUAUUUCAUUCAUCAACUUAAAGGGAAGAAGAUACAUAUAUACAAAGUAUUGGUUAGCCUAUUUUAGGAAUCUAUGAGCAAACGUAUCAGUUACAAUCAAUCAAAAUAAUCUUCUAUAUACAAUCAAAUAUCAUCCUCAAAUUACGGGAUCCUUGAUUCCUUUCCCUUAAUACCCUUCCUUCAUUCCCAUUAUCCUUUUGUUAUGUAUUAAUCUUCGCUAGAUUUUGAGCCUCGUCUGGAUGUUUGGUUAUAGAAUGAAAGAAGCCAAAUAUUUAUUUGCAUUGAUACUAGAUAGCUCAUAUAGUUGUUGUUGAAAUAAAUUCCUUUGGAGGUUCCUAGUUUUGGUUUGGGACUGUAAGGUGGUGUUUGUUUUUUUGGCUUUUUGCUGAAAACCAUUUAGCUUUAGAAUUUAGGUUGUUUGUUUUUUUACUUUUUUAUGACUUAUUAUAAAUUUUUUACUAAAUAGAAAAAGCCAAAAAAUGUGGCUUUUUCUAAAUAGAAAAAAUAACACAAUGGUUUUUUUUACUUUUUAAUACUUAAUAGAAAUAAAAUACUAUAAAAACAAACAACCUAAUAUUUAAUACUAUUAAGUAUUAAGGUUCUAUUUAGAAUUAAGUAAAAAAACAAACACCACCUAAGACUCUGUUUUCCUGUUUACUGUGUGUUAUGUGUGUUAUGUGAGGACUUUGGUUGCCUUUGUUUGUUUGAAUCUGUUUAUACUCCUCCCACCAAUCUAAACCCCUCAUAUGAAACAUGAAAUGUGGCCUUCACCGUGUUUUUUUGGUUUACAUUCUUCAUGCUCUGUUUUCUUGGUCGUCUUCCUCUGUUUUCUAUGGGUAUUUUGGGUGCAUAGUUGUAUGUGCAUCACUAGUUGAUGGUGCUAGAGAAUGGCUUGCAUGGGUUGAAGGAGCAAUCCACUUUCCAUAGUGGAGAAUUGGCACUCGCGCACAGUCCUUAUUUUUUUUUAAAAGAGCAAGCGCACAGUUGAGAUGGUGAUAUUCACGCACAGCAGCCCGUUGUCAAUUCCAUGAAAAACUGGGAUGUAUCCUCAAGAAAUGAGUUGCGUAUCAAGAAGAACAGGAAAAGGAAAGCAAAAAUAGAAAAAGGAAGCAGAACAGGAAGAAGUGGGAACAGAGAGAGAGGUCUGAAGGGAAAUUCAAUGGAUAUCUUGAGGGGAAGAUAGCAAAAAUGCGGAUAAAAAAAAAUAAAAAAAAUCAGUCGAGGCUGACAAGGAGAAGCAUGAUGAUGCUGCCAAGGGAGUUUUGAAAAAAGCAAGGUUGUUACUCAUUGAGCCGGAACCAUUGGGAGGAUCGUGACACAUACAUACAGAAUCACAGUUUCGGACUCCGAGGAACAGAUCGGAUGAUCUGGAAGGCCCACAGUCUGUAUACAUGAUCAAUGUCCCUUGAAUGCAUGAUGAUGGGAGUGGUAUCCAUGAAGUCAUUACCAAUGGGAUUCAGAUUCAGGCCCACCGACGAGGAGCUCAUCAGCCACUACUUGAAGUUGUAGAUCGAAGGGUGUCAUUCGGAGGUGGAGGUUAUUCGGGAACUUGAUGUUUGCAAAUGGGAGCCUUGGGAUUUGCUUGGCUCCUCCACGAUCAAGACGGAUGAUCGGGAACGGUUCUUCUUCUGCCAUCGUAAUAGGAAGCACCCAAACAGCCGUCGUUCCAACCGGGCUACCGACGCCUGUUACUGGAAAGCUACUGGCAAGGGUCGAAUCAUAAACCACGGGGUUUUCUCUGCAACCACUAAUUUGGUUCUCAUCUCUCUGAUAUGGAGACUACUUCUGUGGCUUUCAAAUCCAAGGAGGAUCACCGAAAAUAGCUGGAAUUAGAGGAAGCCUGUGAAGCUGGGCUUGCACCAGCUGAGCUUGAUGAAGAUGGGAAAGAAAUCGACCCUCACAUUCCUCAGUAUAUGUCCUCAGUGCCUUGGUAUCUUAAUGCUGAGAGACCUAGUCUGAAACAUCAAAGGAAAUGAAUGUGAACUUGAUGAUUUGGAGAUUCUUAGAACGCUAGAGGAGGGACGUGAUUAUGUUUUAGUUCCUCAAGAAGUUUGGGAGAAGCUUUUUACUGGUAUAAAGGAGGACCGACAUUACCCAGAAAGAUGAAUCCUCAAGGUAUUACUCACAAGAAAUUCAUGGUGGAGAUUUAUCGACUAUGCCUUAAGUUAAUUGAUUUCAGCAUGAGCUUUAUGAGAGGGUGUGUACACUUAAAGAGGAAGCAACAGGUUGGUUUCUGUGCAUGAGCUUUAUGAGAGGGUGUGUACACUUAAAGAGAAAGCAACAGGUUGGUGGUCAAAACAUUAGUAUAUUGCACAACUUCGGUAGUCAAAGGGUGGACUUAGGUCCGGAUUGCAGCAGAAAACUUAUGCUUUUUUUUUAAAUGGGACUUUAAAUGGUGGGUCCCUUGGAAUCAGGGCUGAAAGAUAGUGAUAGUUAUGUAAGGAUGGUGGCAGCUUGUGGGGUUCUGAAAUUAUAUCACAUAUCAGCUUCAACACAUGUUGAUGCAGAUUUUCCAGCAAUGCUUAAGCAUUUAAUGCUUAACGAUCCAGAUACUCAAGUAGUUGCAAAUUGUUUAUCAUCUCUACAAGAGAUCUGGAGCAAGCAAGUACCUUUGAGGAAGCAUCUAGGGAGAGAGGGGCAAUAUGCAUUCAUUGAAGGAAGCGACCACCAUUCUGAUAUGAAUUCCCAAUUGGUGCACCUUGUUCAUGGUUGCCUUCCUACAAAAUACACAAGAUUUUGGUGGUAUGGAUGAUACUUUGUCAUCUCAGAUGCAGCUAUAAUAUCAAAUUACCUGUUAAGACCCCUUCUUAUUGAGAUUUAUUGAUUUAAAAUUGGUUUGUUAGAAAAGAAAUACCCAUCUUAGGUAUUAAAUGAUUUGAUCAUUGCUGUCAGUUUUCACUCAACCAUUGACCCUUUAAUUUCAAAAUUCGUUUCGGCAACUUUAGAAUAUUCAUAAAAAAUUUCCAAAACUUGUAUGAAUUUCCUUACUUCUUGAACUUGAAUUUAAAUUUUUGUUUGAGUUAGAAAGCCAUUCUAGAAUAGGAGGUAUAAACGAGUCUUUUAGGGGGCUCCUUUUCACCCAGUUCUAGACACUCGAGAUCUUUUUGCAAAAAUAAAAUACGAGACUACUUUUUAAUGGACGUCUAAGUUGGUAAUCUAUAUAUCAUGCAUGGGAAACUAUGGCCCAACAUACAUUUCUAGCUUCAUUGUCUAAUGUACACUUCUAGGCUCGUGCAAGGGAGAUGGUUAUCCAAAAUAUGUGAAUGUGAAGUUAACAUUUUUUAGUUUUGGUCAAUAUUACUGAAGAUAGUUAAUAUUAUUAUCAUCACUUGAAUCAUUGCUUAUUCAGAUGUAAGGGUGGUUCUCAUGUCAUUUGGUGGUGUUUCAAUGUUUGAUGAAUACCUUAUAACGACUUUUUGCUACAACUAUUGCACAUUUUCAAUUGAGUGUGUGUUCUAUUGUACUAUUGAUAAGUUUUUCAUAUAACAAUUUGAACACACAGGCAUGGUAUAUCAUAAUGCUAUCAUUCAUUGUAACUACCAUAUGAACCAUAUAUAAAUGUAUAAACAUAUAUGAAUAAUAUGUGUUUAUUUUUUAGUACCAAUUUCUUUACAAAAAGGUUUCAAUGUUUGUCAAUAGCACUCUUGAAACCAACUUAAAAACACAGCCCAUGCCAUACCAUUCACAAUCACCAACUUAAUAUUGGUCGACCAUGCUAAAUGAAGUGGUACCUUUAGUUGCCGUUAAUGUUACUUUUAGGUUAAUGUAGUGUUACUAUUAACAAUGUCUGUAUCUAGAAACAUAAACAUAAUCUUAAUAUUAUCCCACUUAGGUUUAAAGCACUGAGCUGACUGCCAAAUUAUGUCAUUGAAUGCUAAUUUACAUUGGAAUGGAGUAGUAGUCCAAAACAUGCAGCAUCAGAAUAUUUCAUAGUUUUUAUGGGAAAGUAUAUAUCAUUACCAAAUGGACAUAAUUUGUUAACAUCAAAAUAAAAUUGAAAACAUGUUGCUUUUAAAGAAAAGCAGCCAUACAAUUAUUUAAAAAAAAUGAAAUAUCCGUUAUAAACAACUUAAUGUUGUCCAAUCCGUGUAACAUUAAUGACAUUUUCAUUCUCCACAGGCAAAAGCCAUGGAGGUCGUUCGAAUUCUUCUUAGACAGAUAUAUGUUAAUACCAUUGAUGCUUCAUGCCAUGUCUUCACAAUGCCUCCUUUCUUUUGUGUCAUUGAUUGAGGAUGAUGUUUCUUUAGAUACCGAAGAUUUUAUUAAUACACUAUGAAGACAAGAAUCUGCAUAAAUUAAACAACGAAAAAUGUCAUACAGAUGAACAUUCACAAAUAAGUCAUAGUAAUAAAGCAAACUAAUCUUUUGUAUUGUUGCCACUGAACUUGUAUGUGGUAAAUGACACCAAAGAAGAUGAUCUACAUAGGCCUCCAUUUGGAGCUACUAGUUUAAUUUGUUCUCUCACCAUUUACAUGGGAGGAAUAUCAGUAAAAUGUCGCUUUUACAUUACCAUUGUUAUACCUUUCACUUAAACAUGCUUAGGUGGCAAUCCCCAGUCCAAAUUAUGGAACAUCAAAAAAGAAACCAAGCCCAAAGUCAAUCCCAACCCCAACUCACAUGAGCUUAGUACAUCAUUUAACCAACGGUUUUACAUUUGUUGGUACAUUAUUUAACCAACAAUGUUACUUUAAGGCCAAAAUGGUGUUACAUUUAUGUCACAUUUAUUGUAUCGUUAACUUAUAUAAGGAUUGGAUGACAUGACCUAGUCCAAAUCAUGUAGAAUGCCAACUAGGAAUGAAUUCCUACAUCAAUCUACAACCCAACUCACAUGAGGAUGGUACAUCAUUGAACUUAUAGUAAUACUUUAAUGCCAAAAACAAUGUUAGUUUAUGCCAAAACCACUAUUACAUUUAUAUUAAAAUUGUUUUACCUGUUGCUAAUAUGGAAGAAUUGUGUGUACUCCCAUUGUCCAAAAAAAAAAAAAAUGAUGAACCACAAACAAAAACUAAGUCAAUCUACACCUCAAAACACAUGAGGAUGGUACAUCAUUCAACCAAUGAAGGUACUUUAAGCCCAACACAGUGUUACUUUAAGACCAAAACACUGCUACUUUUACAUUACAAUUAUUGUACCCUUCAUUAUUUUCUGAAUACUACAUGUUUACAUAAUUCCCCCUCAAAACAAUGUAAUUGAUAAUGGAAAAUAAGUAACUUAAACUCAAGUGCAAAGUGAAAACCAACUCUAUGCUCAUAAUGCAAACCAAAUUGAUCCAUGCCAGAAUCGAUCUCAUAAAAAGUUCUACAAUGAAUAAUUUAAAUUGGUCGUUUCAUAAGCUUAACAUUACAAAAGCAAAAUUGCCAAUAUCACAACUAAUCCAUAAGUUGUUCAACUUCAAUAAGUAUUUUGAAAACUAACCCCAAAAUAAUCAAACAACAUCUCUUCAUAACUCUCUAUAAAAAGGAAGACCUAAUAUUGAAAGGAAAUUUAAUUCUCUAAGAGCAUUUUAGUUUCUUCUUCUUGUAAUUCUUCUAUUAUAUAACAAAACUUAUUUUUGUAUAUUACACCUAAUUUUCUUUUUUAUUUAUUUAUUCCUUAACCUUUAAUUUUCCCACAUAUCUUAAUAUAGCCUUGCAUCAAUUAAGCAUAGAUUAGCUAAAUAGUAAAAUAAUAGGUAUAAUAUAUUUAUAUCACUAUGGUAUAAACUUAUAGUUUAUGUUUUGUUUUACAUUAAAAAAAUGUAAUUAAAAUUAGUUAAAAAGUGAUGUAUUUUAAAAUUAUUUCAUCUUUAUAUAAAAGUUUUAAAAUAUGUAAAAAAAAAAAAAAAAAAAGACUGAGUUUGAAAUAACAUAUAAAAAUAUAAAUCCAAAUUGAUUCCAUUCAUUCUCCUUUCAUUUUGUGAUUUUGCAUUAAAGAAGCUCAUCCCAACAACCUCACAAAUAAUGCUUAUGAAAAAAUAAAAUAAAAUUAAAGGCAUGAUGAAGUGAAAAGAGGAACAUCCCAAUGAAUGAAGCAGAGAGCAAAGUUCUUAUCUUGAUUUCCAGUUGAUGUUUUUUCCCUGUUUUAGCUCCUUAAACUUUUCCUUUCAACUCCACAGCAAAAUGCUCUGAAUUUUCACCUUCUCUCCCCCAAUGCUCUCUUGGAUUUAUGAAAAUAAUCCCAUUAGUUUCCAAAGAGUCAAGCCUUUUCGCCAUUUUUUUUCUCCCAUGGAAUAAUUUUCCAACCUAUACUUUUAGUCAAAUAAUAAAGAGAAAAAUAAAUCUUGAAUUUAAAUAAUAAAAAGGCUAUAAAUUCAUUAAAUCUAUUUUUAAAAUAUUUUAAAUUUAAAUUUAACUACUUUUUACCUUCAAAGUUUUAAUGAGAAAGUGUUUUUAACCUAUCCCAUUGCUUUCUUACUCUAUCUUUCUCUAUUUUCAGCUUUCUUUCUCUAUAUUUCUCUAUUUUCAUUCGUCAACCUUGGAAAAAGACCUGAUUUUGAAUAUCGUCUUUGCUUCCUUAUCUUUCAAUCUUUGUUAAUUAUGUAAUUGUGUAAAUAAUUAAUUUAAGAAGAAAGUUUUUUUCAUUACUCAUGACAUGAAAUGAUAAAAAAAAAAAAAAAAGUAAUUAUAUGAAUAGCAUAUGAAAGGUUAAUCUCUUCUUAUGAAGGUAUAUGAUCAUAGUAAUGGAAUGUGAAAUCCAUUCCAUCUUCAACUUGCAUGAGAUUGCAUUAUUACAUGCCAAAAUCUAUUUAUAGCCAAAUAGAAAAACAGUCUAAGCUACUUCUUGGGACGCACCCAUGGGAGCACUUUUUUUUUUUCUUUAUGUUAGGAUCAAACACGGGUUCAAAUCUUCUUGUAAGGUUGGAAAUCUUGCGAAGAAGCCUACAAUUUUGAAGGUUGGGCUUAGGAUUUUGGAUCGAAACUUUCAUUUAUCUUCAAUGGUAUCACUGGGUAUGGUGCUUAAGCCAAAGUCAUUUCUGGAUCAACUACUGUUUUUGACAAUCCUUUCAAAUUAGAGAGAGAAUAAUCUUGUGCACUAGAGUAACUUAUACACAUGGCCCCAUUCAAUCAAUUUCAUUGUUCUAAGAUUUAAAAAUUCCAAUUUAUUUUCUUUUUCUUUACAUUAAUUUUCUAAACAAAUAAGCAGUUUCUCAUCUUCUACUUUUAUGAAAUCAACCAAAUCUCAAACAGAGCACCUACAAAACCACAAAAAAAAGAAAGAGAUCGAAAAAGUGAAAAAUUGCCAAUUCAAGCUUCCUUUCAAUACAAAAGCGUUGAAUCUAUAUUUAUCAUCAUCUUCAAGUUUUAUGGCACAGGCUGACAAGAGACUAAUGAAAGUAAAACAGAAGCUCUAACAAGAUAAUCAGAGCUUGGAGCUCAAGUUUGUAGACAUGGAAGCUCAUGUGCAAUGGAAAAGAUGAAAAUGCCUGGUGAUGAUCCAGCAAUGCACUAAUCGAGGCUUGUGGGGAUUGGAGAAGAUUGUUGUGUCUUCCUUUGAGCUUUUGCAUUUUGAUUUUGAAUUUCGUGGAGAUUAAGGGAUUGUUUCCUGGAGAAAGAGGUUGGAGAAAAAUAAAUGAUGAUGUUGCCAAACAAUCUUUACAAAUAAUAUCUAUUUUUGCAUUUUUCUACAAGAAUUUUACCUGACGGUUGUGUAUUAUCUAAUGGCUCCACCACUCCCAAGUGCCAAACAAUCUAAUGAAGCGUGUAGAGUGAGAAACUAGAGAGAAAUUAAAUAUAAUCAAAAUACAUCAAUAGUUAACAUAAUGUUUCAAAUAGAAAAUAAAAUAAUAUAUUGAGAGGCAAACUCAAACAAUCACAAUGCACAUUUGGACUUGGCCAUGUUUAUAUUAUGAAAAUUUUUAAAUACAAUUAUAUAUAUAAAAAAAAAAGGAAGAAAAAGGGAUUUUACCUAUAAUAAGACGAAUGCAAUGGGUGCUCAAAUCUUGCCUCAAAUUUUUGAGGGUUGAAAAUAUGGAGUGAGGUUGUGCAUAAUGGUUUGAUUCUCCCAAUCCAAACCAUCCCACCAUUCUUGGUCUCCCAUGAUUUUCUCUAAUUUCUUGCUCACUCCAAUAUUGGAAUCAAAUGGCAGCUUCCUCAAACUUGAACAUCCAAGCAUAAGAAUGUGUCUUAAAGAUGGAAAAAGUAGGGCACGUCCAUGUAUACUUCUUAGCUUUGGUAGAUAAACUAAGGUGAGAGAUACGAGUCUCGAGAAUACGCCCAAAUGAUCUACUUCAACAAUUUCUAAAACUUCACUCCUUUCAUCAUCUAUCACUUUUUCCAUUGAUUCACAGAAUUCAACACUUAGCAAUUGAAGGUUUGGAGCAUAAAUAAGCCAUGUCAAAUUCAACAAUUUAUGACAUCCAAAUAUUUCGACAUCACAAAGGUUGUUCAAGCAUUGGUGCCUUGGGAAUUUUGAGUAGACCACCACUUCCUUUUCAAAAUUGAUUUUCACAUCUUGCAAUUCAACACAAUUUGUAAUACGGAGUGUCUCUAUAUAAAGGGAUAGUUGGACUAGGUUCAUACGCUUACAAACUAAUUGUAGCCAUCUUGUGGAUCUUUGCAACUUGUGGGAGUUAAAUAAUGUUUGGAUGGUUGAUACACUUGUAAGGUUGAUGGAUAUAUCAUCAAUGUGUUCCAACUGCUCUAACUCUUCUAAUAACUUUCCUUCAUGAUCUCCUGUAAAGUCUGACCCUACAAUCGUUCUAUACAUGCUGAACAGUUGCAAAGAGGAAAGACUCGAUACCAUUUGAGAUGGAAGUGACUUGAGCAAAUACAUAUCAUUCAAUAUCAAGCACCUUAAUUUUUUCAAGUUUUUGAGCUCCAUAGGUAAGUAUUUUAUACUUAGACCUGACAAAUUAAGAUAUUGCAAAGUAACUAAGUUUCCAAUCUCCAUUGGUAACUCUGUGAGUUCAAAAUUGUUUGACAAGUCCAAAACUCUUAUAAUAGGCAUGUUUGUAAAGAAUCUAUUUGGAAAUGACCGAAUAAACUUACGAGAUGCCAAAAAGGUCUCCAUAUUAGGGAAAUAUGGUGGUUCCCCAAGUUCUUCAAUGUUGGUAUCCCACAAUGAUAUCCUCUGUGUCUCUUUCCAUUUUUCAACUUCCUGAGCUCUAAUCGAUUCAACUCCAUCUUUUACCACAAAUUUGUUCUUCUUCUUCCCGUUUUCGCGAGCCAACCACAAAGCCAUAUCACGAAUAACAUCAUGCAUCUUCGAAUAUUCGUCUUUUUUAUCUAAUCGAGAUCUGCCAUUCUCUAAUAGACAUGCAAGUUGUAAACUUUUAAUAACUUCUUCUCCUUGAUAUCUUGCUUCUUGUAUGUUGUCAUAUUCAUCCAGAAAACCCUCCCCGAUCCAAAGUUGUAUAAGAUUUCGAUGAGAGAUUUCAUAAUCCUCCGGAAAUAAAGAGCAAUAUAGGAAACAUGAUUUGAUGGCUUCAUCGGGUAGGCGAUCAUAACUGAAUGCCAAGCGUGAAAACAAAUGAUUCUCCAUACCUGGAAACUUUGCCGGAUAAUUCUUCAACAUUUGUAUUUUUUUCUCCCAUUCUUCUGGUGUUUUUGUUCCCGCCAUUGCUCGCCCUAUGGUGAUGAGGGCAAGUGGUAAGCCGCAACACUCUUUGGCAACCAUCUCCGCCAGCUUUGGUAUAUCUGGAUGAGAAUUUAUGGUGUCUGCUCCCACCUUGGUCUGAAACAGAGCAAAAGCAUCCUCCCAUGGGAGACAAUUCACUUCAAUGCUCUCUGUAACUUCCAUAUCUUGGCACACAUCUUUAGAUCGCGUUGUAAGUACCAUCUUCAACUUAUCUUGAGGAUUCAGAGGAGGAAUACCAACUUUGGAUAGAUCCAGCCGCUCCCAUAUGUCAUCUAACAAAAGCACAAAUUUCUUUGUCUUCAGGACAUUGAAUAUUUCUUCUGCCCUUUCAUCCUCACUUCUACCUUCCCAUUUAUCUUGGGGAAUCUCCACUUUAUUGAAAAGAACUCGCUGAACCUUUUCCACAUUGGCUGGUCUGGACACAGUCACCCAAAUCACUGCAUCAAAUUCAAGCCUGGUUUUGAGGAGCUCAUUGUUGAUCCUGGUCAAGAGGGUGGUUUUGCCCACACCCCCCAUUCCAUAUAAUCCGAUACUGCUUACCUGCUCUCCACCAUCUUGGAGCCAUUUCCAGACCUUCCCAAACAACAAAUCUUGGCCCACAGUCUUGUCAAGCUGCCUCUCCAUCACGGGAGGACUAGGCAAAGGUUCAGCAACUACACUGAAAUUUGAGCCCUCCGUCUUCUUUACCGUCACAGCAUCCAUCUUUUCAAGUACCAUCUUGCCAAGAUUGUAGCUAGCGCCACAGUUUUUAGGACAACAGGUUCCGAGAUAUUUCUUCUGGAUUUCUUCAUCACCUUUCGCCAAUAUUUCCUUCACUUGUUCUUCCAUGGCUUCUACAUUGCGGAGCCAGCCAUCGACUACAUGAGUACACUUCUUCUGAAGUUUCUCUUCACGUUCCACCCGUUCCUUCACAUCUUCGUAUAGGUUCUUGAGUUCCUCCAUUGCAGUUCUCAAAGAGUUGAGAUUUUGUGGGAGAUGACGGAUGUAAACAGCACGCUUGGCAGUGCAAUACCACAAGCGAGUAGUGACAUCCAGGAUUGGGCUCACACAAUCCAUGGAGAAAACCAGAACUGGGAUUCAAAGCCAAGAAGAACUUAAUCAGAAUGGGAAAACAGGUGCUGGAUUGAAGUUGGAGAGGAAAAGAGAAGAAUUCUGGAUUUAUGUUUGUU
rnacentral:lncRNA from 1 species